rnacentral:rRNA from 1 species
UACGUAGGUGGCGAGCGUUGUCCGGAAUUACUGGGCGUAAAGGGCGCGCAGGCGGCGCGUUAAGUCCGGGGUGAAAUCCCACGGCUCAACUGUGGGGGGACCCUGGAUACUGGCGUGCUGGAGUGCGGGAGAGGGAAGCGGAAUUCCACGUGUAACGGUGAAAUGUAUAGAUAUGUGGAGGAACACCGGUGGCGAAGGCGGCUUCCUGGACCGUAACUGACGCUGAGGCGCGAAAGCUGGGGGAGCGAACAGGAUUAGAUACCCUGGUAGUCCCAGCCGUAAACUAUGAACACUAGGUGUGGGGGGUAUCGACCCCUUCCGUGCCGCAGCUAACGCAAUAAGUGUUCCGCCUGGGGAGUACGGCCGCAAGGUUGAA